UUGCGACGCACCUACCGGUACCGAGUACGUCUCGAGCCUCGUACGCGCUACCGCGGCAUAUGCCGACCUGCCUCUCUCUCUUCAGUGCAGAGCGGAGGACUCGACGCUGGACCUCUUAACGACACCGAAAGGCGCUGCUGUUGCUUCUGGGGAAGCACCCGCGACUAUCCGUCCAACGGUCCGUACCAGAGACGUUUGGCACUAGCCCCUAGCGCACUGACAGCUUCGUGCUGCUUGCCGGGUUCGUUAUUCGGGCUGCCGAGCGUUUCGGGACGGUAGUCACAGCGAGCGCCUCCGCUGAGGCAGUUUCACGCUCUUGGGGAAGGGGCGCGCACUUUGCAGGUCGCCAACGUGUCCAGCGUCAAGCCCAACGACUGAACUGCCGUCGACUGAGUCGCACACGUACACAUGCUCACUGGGACAUCAGCGCCUUUCGCCGCUUUGGACUGAGGCUUUGGCGGCGUUUACUACCCGAGUCGGAGAAAAGUGCGGCGGGUCCGUGAAUACUGGGCGGUUUAUUGCAGCACUUGACCAGGGAGAAGGGUUGCAGUGAACAGCAGCACGCUACGACUACUGCGCAAAGCUGUUCGCGCGCGUCUGGUAGCGCUUCCAAGUUGUGUCGAGCGCAGCAUAGGCACGAAGCAACGACCCCAAAACGGACGCCCUGAACCUGCAUGGAGUCUGAAGACGAGCUUCUGCCGAGCGUCCCCGCGGUACUGGUGGACGAGUCGAGCCCCGGCGCGUUCGCGGAACUGGCGAACGAGAAGGCGCGCCUCGAGUCUCGGAGAGCGCUGCUUCAGCGAGAACUGGAACGACUACAGGCGCCUGUCCUUCAACAAAGCCCCUACUACAGAGAACGUAGAGCUUGUUGCUUGAGAAUGCUGGAGAUCAUUGACGUGAGCAUCGCACAACUGGAUUCUGGGAUGCACGCGCCAGCAGCGUUGAAUGCUGAACUGGAGACCCUGUUUCAGAGCUUGCAUAUCGACUGAGCGUUGCGGGCUCGUGCCAGCACACGCCACCUACUCGAUAGCGCAGUGAGAUGCGCACUUUAUCCGGGGUCGCAGUCCUGGAGGCGUCAUGCGCGCACACACACAACCACACAACACCGGGAUACUGUGUGUAGCAGCUACAACCCGUGAUCAAAGUCUAGAAUACCUGGCAUACGGUCAUGCCAGAGUAUCCAUGCGCUCCAAGUCGGGUUCGUAUGGAGCCAGACGCGGCGUCGCUCGCCCUGCAGACAGUGAACGACCAGUAUACUGGCUGGAAACGCUGCAAGUCCACGUCGACGCCGCCGGUGUUCGCCGCACUCGGCACAUCGCUGCAGCACCAGAAGGGAUUCGCUUUGGUGCGUCCGACGGGGAUAGCGCACACGGCGCUCUGGUCUCGAUCCUGUAUCCCUUGGAUCAAGGGCAAAAAACGCGGUAUGACGUUAUCGAGCAGCGCUAGGAGAGCAGCCAUGGCGAGUGCGAGCCCCCAGCCGCCCGCAGCCCGUGAACCUGCCCUGUUGGAUCGGGUACGCAAGCACCGCGAGGAGACGGCUUGCCGAGAGCCCCCGCUGCAACAUGCUCGAUGAUCGCGCUACAGAGAGUGAGCACACACACCUCGUCGAUGUGGAUGUGCAUCGAGCGACGCUCGUACUGUCGUCCGCGCUUCCACGUACAUGCGGCUGCCUCGUAUCCGGACGAUGAACGGCGAGCGGUAGGCUUCCCGAUCCCCUAUCAACCUAAACUGCAUCGCU